ACUCAAAGGAAUAGACGGGGGCCCGCACAAGCGGUGGAGCAUGUGGUUUAAUUCGUCACUAACCGAAGAACCUUACCCAGGCUUGACAUCGCGGGAAAGACUGUGAAAGCAGUCCCUCUCUUCGGAGACCCAAAGACAGGUGUUGCAUGGCUGUCGUCAGCUCGUGUCGUGAGAUGUUGGGUUAAGUCCCGCAACGAGCGCAACCCUCACCUGAUGUUGCCAGCGUAAAGUCGGGAACUCUUCAGGAACUGCCCGUGCAAGCGGGAGGAAGGUGGGGAUGACGUCAAGUCGGCAUGGCCCUUACGCCUGGGGCUACACACAUGCUACAAUGGACGGUAACAGAGCGCGCCGAGACCGCGAGGUGGAGGAAAUCGCACAAAUCCGUCCUCAGUUCGGAUAGCAGGCUGCAACUCGCCUGCUUGAAGCUGGAAUCGCUAGUAACCGCAGGUCAGCUAAACUGCGGUGAAUACGUUCCCGGGCCUUGUACACACCGCCCGU
rnacentral:rRNA from 1 species